GACGAACGCUGGCGGCGUGCUUAACACAUGCAAGUCGAACGGUGAAGGGAUCAGCUUGCUGGUUCUGGAUGAGUGGCGAACGGGUGAGUAACACGUGAGUAACCUGCCCCCUUCUUCUGGAUAACCGCAUGAAAGUGUGGCUAAUACGGGAUAUUCUGCGCCUGCUGCAUGGUGGGUGUGGGAAAGAUAUUGUUUCGGUGGGGGAUGGGCUCGCGGCCUAUCAGCUUGUUGGUGGGGUGAUGGCCUACCAAGGCGGUGACGGGUAGCCGGCCUGAGAGGGGCGACGGUCACACUGGGACUGAGACACGGCCCAGACUCCUACGGGAGGCAGCAGUGGGGAAUAUUGCACAAUGGGCUCAAGCCUGAUGCAGCGACGCCGCGUGAGGGAUGGAGGCCUUCGGGUUGUGAACCUCUUUCGCCAGUGAAGCAGGCCUGUCCCGUGUGGGUGGGUUGACGGUAGCUGGAUAAGAAGCGCCGGCUAACUACGUG
rnacentral:rRNA from 1 species